UCAGACGAUGCGUCAUGCAUAUCAAUAAGCGGAGGAAAAGAAACUAACAAGGAUUCCCUUAGUAACGGCGAGUGAAGCGGGAAGAGCUCAAAUUUGAAAUCUUCAAGGUUUUACCUUGACGAAUUGUAGUUUAAAGAAGUGUUUUCUGCUGAAGUUUUGGUAAAAGUUCUUUGGAAUAGGACAUCAUAGAGGGUGAGAAUCCCGUAUUUGACCAUUAUUUUCAGCUUUGUGAUACACUUUCAAAGAGUCGGAUUGUUUGGGAAUGCAGUCCAAAAUGGGUGGUAAAUUUCAUCUAAAGCUAAAUAUUGGCGAGAGACCGAUAGCGAACAAGUACCGUGAGGGAAAGAUGAAAAGAACUUUGAAAAGAGAGUUAAACAGUACGUGAAAUUGUCAAAAGGGAAGCGUUUGACACCAGUGUUGUUUUCUCGAAAAUCAAUUAAAAAUGGCUCGAUUUUGUAUUGUUUGAGACCUUAAAAGCUCACUGUACAUUUUUCGUGUCUUUUUUAAUGCACUUUUCGUUUAACAAGUCAACAUCAGUCUCUUUUGUUGUAAAAGGGUCAUUGGAAGGUGGCUUUCUUUUCGGAGAAAGUGUUUAUAGCCUUUGGCCUCUGCAAUCGAAGAGACUGAGGUCUGCAGCGUAGACUCUUCGGGGUUAGAUACAUUUGUGCUAAGUUAUAGCUUUUUAUAGACAACUUGUUGACUAUAAUUAGUCUUGUAGCUUACUCGCUUAUGCUAUUUUACCUACGCUUAGGAUGUUGACUGAUAUGUAGUCGU
rnacentral:rRNA from 1 species